rnacentral:rRNA from 1 species
CGCUAGCGGCAGGCUUAACACAUGCAAGUCGAGGGUAUAGUUCUUCGGAAUUAGAGACCGGCGCACGGGUGCGUAACGCGUAUGCAAUCUACCUUUCACAGAGGGAUAGCCCAGAGAAAUUUGGAUUAAUACCUCAUAGUAUAGCAGUUUCGCAUGAAACCACUAUUAAAGUCACAACGGUGAAAGAUGAGCAUGCGUCCCAUUAGCUAGUUGGUAAGGUAACGGCUUACCAAGGCAACGAUGGGUAGGGGUCCUGAGAGGGAGAUCCCCCACACUGGUACUGAGACACGGACCAGACUCCUACGGGAGGCAGCAGUGAGGAAUAUUGGACAAUGGGCGCAAGCCUGAUCCAGCCAUGCCGCGUGCAGGAUGACGGUCCUAUGGAUUGUAAACUGCUUUUAUACAGGAAGAAACACUACUUCGUGAAGUAGCUUGACGGUACUGUAAGAAUAAGGAUCGGCUAACUCCGUG